rnacentral:pre_miRNA from 1 species
GUACUGCUUCCUCCAUCGAACAAAAAAGUCUCAACUUUGUCAAAAUUUGGAUGUAUCUAUAUGUGACUUAGUGUAUAGAUGCAUUCAAAUUUAGUCAAAAUUGAGACAUAUUUUAUUGGACGGAGGUACAGUACAAA